rnacentral:snRNA from 1 species
AUGAUUCUUCUGUCUAUCA